rnacentral:rRNA from 1 species
CCGGCGCACGGGUGAGUAACACGUAUGCAAUCCACCUGUAACAGGGGGAUAACCCGGAGAAAUCCGGACUAAUACCCCAUAAUAUGGGCGCUCCGCAUGGAGAGCCCAUUAAAGAGAGCAAUUUUGGUUACAGACGAGCAUACGCUCCAUUAGCCAGUUGGCGGGGUAACGGCCCACCAAGGCGACGAUGGAUAGGGGUUCUGAGAGGAAGGUCCCCCACAUUGGAACUGAGACACGGUCCAA